rnacentral:rRNA from 1 species
GUGCAGCAGGCGAGAAUCCUCCGCAAUGCGCGAAAGCGCGACGAGGCCACCCCGAGUGCCGCCCGCUGAGGGCGGCUUUUCCCCGGUGUAGACAGCCGGGGGAAUAAGGGGAGGGCAAGUCUGGUGUCAGCCGCCGCGGUAAUACCAGCUCCCCGAGUGGUGGGGACGAUUAUUGGGCCUAAAGCGUCCGUAGCCGGCCCGGCAAGUCUCCCGUUAAAUCCAGCGAUCUAAUCGCUGGACUGCGGGAGAUACUGUCGGGCUAGGGGGCGGGAGAGGCCGGCGGUAUUCCCGGGGUAGGGGUGAAAUCCUAUAAUCCCGGGAGGACCACCAGUGGCGAAGGCUGCCGGCUGGAACGCGCCCGACGGUGAGGGACGAAAGCCGGGGGAGCGAACC